UACGUAGGGGGCAAGCGUUGUCCGGAUUUAUUGGGCGUAAAGAGCGUGUAGGCGGUUUGGUAGGUCCGCUGUGAAAACUCGAGCUCAACCUCGAGACGCCGGUGGAAACCAUCAGACUAGAGUCCGGAAGAGGAGAGUGGAAUUCCUGGUGUAGCGGUGAAAUGCGCAGAUAUCAGGAAGAACACCCCGUGGCUAAGGGCGGCUCUCUAGUACGGUACUGACGCUGAGACGCGAAAGCGUGGGGAGCGAACAGG
rnacentral:rRNA from 1 species